rnacentral:rRNA from 1 species
GCAAGUCGAACGGUAAGGCCGAGCGUAGCAAUACGUGAGGUACACGAGUGGCGCACGGGUGCGUAACGCGUAUGCAAUCUGCCCCCGACCGGACGAAACAGCUGGAAACGGCUGCUAAUAGUCCCAUGGUCAUGAGAGACGGCAUCGUUUUUUCAUGUAAAGAUUCAGUUGGUCGGGGAUGAGCAUGCGUAUUAUUAGGUAGUUGGUGGGGUAACGGCCCACCAAGCCGACGAUGAUUAGGGGUUCUGAGAGGAUUAACCCCCACACUGGAACUGAGACACGGUCCAGACUCCUACGGGAGGCAGCAGUAGGGAAUAUUGGGCAAUGGAGGCAACUCUGACCCAGCCAUGCCGCGUGAAGGAAGACGGCCCUAUGGGUUGUAAACUUCUUUUGCCGCAGAGUAAACCCGGUCACGUGUGGCCGGUUGAGAGUAUGCGGCGAAUAAGUAUCGGCUAACUCCGUGCCAGCAGCAGC